GAUGAACGCUGGCGGCGUGCUUAACACAUGCAAGUCGAACGAAACACCUUAUUUGAUUUUCUUCGGAACUGAAGAUUUGGUGAUUGAGUGGCGGACGGGUGAGUAACGCGUGGGUAACCUACCCUGUACAGGGGGAUAACAGUCAGAAAUGACUGCUAAUACCGCAUAAGACCACAGCACCGCAUGGUGCAGGGGUAAAAACUCCGGUGGUACAGGAUGGACCCGCGUCUGAUUAGCUGGUUGGUGAGGUAACGGCUCACCAAGGCGACGAUCAGUAGCCGGCUUGAGAGAGUGAACGGCCACAUUGGGACUGAGACACGGCCCAAACUCCUACGGGAGGCAGCAGUGGGGAAUAUUGCACAAUGGGGGAAACCCUGAUGCAGCGACGCCGCGUGAGUGAAGAAGUAUCUCGGUAUGUAAAGCUCUAUCAGCAGGGAAGAAAAUGACGGUACCUGACUAAGAAGCCCCGGCUAACUACGUGCCAGCAGCCGCGGUAAUACGUAGGGGGCAAGCGUUAUCCGGAAUUACUGGGUGUAAAGGGUGCGUAGGUGGUAUGGCAAGUCAGAAGUGAAAACCCAGGGCUUAACUCUGGGACUGCUUUUGAAACUGUCAGACUGGAGUGCAGGAGAGGUAAGCGGAAUUCCUAGUGUAGCGGUGAAAUGCGUAGAUAUUAGGAGGAACAUCAGUGGCGAAGGCGGCUUACUGGACUGAAACU
rnacentral:rRNA from 1 species